rnacentral:rRNA from 1 species
UUGCCCUACGGGAGGCAGCAGUGGGGAAUAUUGCACAAUGGGCGAAAGCCUGAUGCAGCAACGCCGCGUGAAGGAAGAAGGGUUUCGGCUCGUAAACUUCUAUCAACAGGGACGAAAGAAAUGACGGUACCUGAAUAAGAAGCCCCGGCUAACUACGUGCCAGCAGCCGCGGUAAUAUGUAGGGGGCAAGCGUUAUCCGGAAUUACUGGGAGUAAAGGGUCAGUAGGCGGCAUGGUGAGCCAGAUGGGAAAGCCUUGGGCUUUACCCGAGGGUUGGAUUUGGGACUAUCAAGCU